rnacentral:rRNA from 1 species
GACGGAGGAUGCAAGCGUUAUCCGGAAUGAUUGGGCGUAAAGCGUCCGCAGGUGGCAGUUCAAGUCUGCUGUCAAAGACCGGGGCUUAACUUCGGAAAGGCAGUGGAAACUGAACAGCUAGAGUAUGGUAGGGGCAGAGGGAAUUCCUGGUGUAGCGGUGGAAUGCGCAGAUAUCAGGAGGAACACCGGUGGCGAAGGCGGUGGUCUGGGCCGGCACUGACGCUGAGGAGCGAAAGCCGGGUGGGCGAAACGGG